ACCGGGGUUGCGGACAGUGUCUGGUGGGUAGUUUGACUGGGGCGGUCUCCUCCCAAAGCGUAACGGAGGAGCACGAAGGUUAGCUAAUCCUGGUCGGACAUCAGGAGGUUAGUGCAAUGGCAUAAGCUAGCUUGACUGCGAGCGUGACGGCGCGAGCAGGUGCGAAAGCAGGUCAUAGUGAUCCGGUGGUUCUGAAUGGAAGGGCCAUCGCUCAACGGAUAAAAGGUACUCCGGGGAUAACAGGCUGAUACCGCCCAAGAGUUCAUAUCGACGGCGGUGUUUGGCACCUCGAUGUCGGCUCAUCACAUCCUGGGGCUGAAGUAGGUCCCAAGGGUAUGGCUGUUCGCCAUUUAAAGUGGUACGCGAGCUGGGUUUAGAACGUCGUGAGACAGUUCGGUCCCUAUCUGCCGUGGGCGCUGGAGAAUUGAGGGGGGCUGCUCCUAGUACGAGAGGACCGGAGUGGACGCAUCACUGGUGUUCGGGUUGUCAUGCCAAUGGCACUGCCCGGUAGCUAAAUGCGGAAGAGAUAAGUGCUGAAAGCAUCUAAGCACGAAACUUGCCCCGAGAUGAGUUCUCCCUGAGACUUUAAGUCUCCUGAAGGAACGUUGAAGACGACGACGUUGAUAGGCCGGGUGUGUAAGCGCAGCGAUGCGUUGAGCUAACCGGUACUAAUGAACCGUGAGGCUUAACCUU
rnacentral:rRNA from 5 species